rnacentral:pre_miRNA from 1 species
AGGAGGAACAACCACAGUGGCGGCGGCCAGCUGUGGAUCCCUGGAUUCAGCUCCUGCAGUAGCUAUGGAGCUCUCUGCCUGCAGAGGCCUGGAUGUUCUGGGGGUGG